rnacentral:rRNA from 1 species
UACGUAGGGUGCAAGCGUUGUCCGGAAUUAUUGGGCGUAAAGAGCUCGUAGGCGGUCUGUCGCGUCGGCUGUGAAAACCUGGGGCUUAACUCCGGGCCUGCAGCCGAUACGGGCAGACUAGAGUUCGGCAGGGGAGACUGGAAUUCCUGGUGUAGCGGUGAAAUGCGCAGAUAUCAGGAGGAACACCGGUGGCGAAGGCGGGUCUCUGGGCCGAUACUGACGCUCAUGCACGAAAGCGUGGGGAGCAAACAGG